rnacentral:ncRNA from 1 species
AAACAUGUCUUCGAGCCCCUGUUCCUGUGGCUGUGCUAUGGAACCCGGGCCGCAUCGGGAAUCCCGGUUCAGGGCACUGCCGGAAACGGCGGUACCUUCCGCAUUUGAAAAGGAGACAC